AUCACUUCCUGUGCUCACUCUGGUCUUGGCUUUCAGGUCCUGCUGGAGGUGACCUGGAGCAGAUGUCCCCAAUCAACCCACGGGCUCACAGUCAAUAUCUUAACAAAGCAAAUCCAGGGCCUCCAUCCCUGAGCAGCUGGAGAUGGUUGGAGGAGGGAAAGCCCUCAGGGGGAAGCAGCUGCUGGGGUUUAUAAAGCAGGAGCAGAGGUUGGGGUUUCCUUAUCCCAAAGGAGAGAAAGUGCUUCCUGCUAGGAAUGAGGAAUCCAACUGCUCAUCUUCUCUUCUCCAGCCCUUCCAACUGCUGGAACCAAGGAGAGCAAUCUUCUGUCCACUGUCCCAGAGGGUCCAGGGAAGGUAAAACGGUCAGAAGAAAACCCCUGGAGAUUAAUUUGGAAUUUGUGGGCUGAAGAAUGAGGAUUUGAGUCACAGCUGACCACACGUCUUGAGAAUCAGAGAAUCAUUAAGGCUGGAAAAGACUUUCAAGAUCAUUAAGUCCAACCUUUGUAUUUGCAGUUAACAAGGUGAAUUCUGACUAAAAUAUCCGAGGUGGUAGAGAUCCAUUAAAAAAAUCCAUUUUUUUGCCAUUGUUAGAUGUAAUUACAUUCCUUCUUUACUGCAUGGAAUUGUCUUUUGGGUACAUAUUUUUAUUGGCAAUCAGAGAAACACCAGCAGCAGCCUAAAAUAUGAAAUAUUUAAUGCAAAAUAUGAAAACCUCAUAGCGUUAGUGGAAAAAACUUAAAUAUAGGUUAAAAUAGCACAGAAGUUUGGGAUUACAGUGAUAAAUCUCAAUUUUUGUUCUAGAACUCUGUGUUUGGCAUAGAAAAGAUCAAAAAAAGGGAAAGUGCUGCAAAAAAAAUGUGAAUUUUGCUUAGAAAGGAUGAAAAAAUGGGGGAAAAGUGCCUGUGCUGUAGAUUCAGAUUGUACUUGCAAUUCAUUUAAGGAGCUACUGAAUCCAGAGUUAAAUUGUUAAUUUAUUC
rnacentral:lncRNA from 1 species